GACCAGGGGACUCCAUCUGCUUUAAUUAAAACAAAGCAUCGCGAAGGCCCGAGGUGGGUGUUGUGAUUUCUGCCCAGUGCUCUGAAUGUCAAAGUGAAGAAAUUCAAUGAAGCGCGGGUAAACUGCGGGAGGAACAAUGACUCUCUUAAGGAGUGCUUAGCCUUAGUAAGGGAGAUAAUGAGCUAUCCCUCUAGCAGGGCUCUUCCAAUCCCUCGCUGUAUGUCACCUGUUUUCAGGUGUCGCUAAUGAUGCAAACCAAACGGGAGUUAUCUCGGUAGUAGUCCAUAUGCAAAGAGAGUCCU
rnacentral:ncRNA from 1 species